CAUAGCGUAGCUAAAAAGAAAAGCAUCUCUCUUACACUGAGAAGACAUCCAUGCAAAUUGGAUCGCCAUGA
rnacentral:tRNA from 1 species